rnacentral:lncRNA from 1 species
CUGAAGACUGUCUGCUAGAGAGGUCCGGUUGCAUGAGAAAUCCGACAGAAGGUCGACCAAUAGCGGAAUUCAAAAGGCAUUAUGGAAGUUCGUCUGUUGGAGGAGUCUGGAGGACACUAUGGAAGGUCGACCGCUGGAGGGGUUUGGAGGAAAUUUGUCCGUUGGAGGGGUCUGGUUCGCACUGUUGAAGUUCGGUUGGCACUGUUGAAGGUUGAUGGC